GGGAGGAAAGGGUCAAGAAGCCAGCUUGUUCAAAACAGAAAAAGCUGGUGGCUAAAAAGAGACAUUGGAUCCAGAGAGGAUCUCCCUGGGAUAUAAAAUUCUUUGUCACAUACAGGCACUGGAGAUGGAAGAUGCAGAAAUGAAAGAAAUGGCGGGGUGGAGAAAAAUCAGCACAGGGAGAGAAACUGAACUCAUACAGAAUCUCCCAUCACAGUAAGAACAAAGGAGGUGUGUACAAUGUGAGUGUGAGCACACUCAUGCUGUACUGUGCAUAUGGAUGUGGAGGUCAGAGAACAACGUUUCAGAGUCAGUUCCCUGAUAGCAGAUUCAAUGUCUUCAUCAGAGGAGCUCCAUGCAAGAGAUGGUGACUAACAGAGCCGCAACAGGACAACGUACAGAGGAGAGACUUUGGAGAACCCAACCCUAAAGAGUAUGUCUUCAUCAAACUCCUUCCCUCAAGGCUCAGGGAUCUGUGUAGAAGAGGAGGUAGAAAGACUUUUUUUGUUCUUUUGUUUUUCAAGAUAGGUUUUCUCUGUGUAGCCCUGGCUAUCCUGGAACUCACCCUGUAGAUUAGGCUAACCUCGAACUUGGAGAUCCCCACAAGUGCUGGGAUUAAAGGUGUGCACCGCUGCUGCUGCCACCACCACCACCACCACCACCACCAGCAGCAGCAGCAGCAGCAGCAGCAGCAGCAAAGUGGAAAGAUUUUUAGAGCCAGAAGUGGUCCUCCAAGGCAACAGUGUCAUCCGGAUAUAACAGAACCAAUCCAAUACACAACUGAACUCACAGACUGGGACAGCACACACGAAACCUGCACAGGUUAAAAUCCCAGCACAGGGAGGGGAAAUGGACACAAGGUCAUGCCCCUAAUCAAGAAGUUAUUUGUGACUGAAACCUGCUAGGAAAGGGACAAUGAGUUUUCUCCAAUGGAGGUCACUGGGUAUAGUCUAUCAACCAUCCUGGACAGGUUCCGUGCACAGGAGAAGCAAAGCAACACAGAAUGGACUCUGGGUUUUCUGAGCGUUUUACUUUGUUUUGAUUUUGAUUUUACUUUGUUUUUGAUUUUCGUUGUUUUCUUUUUGAGAGAGAGAUCAAAACAUAAAGUUAAGUGUGUAAUGAGAAGGAUCUGGGAGAAGCUGAAGGAAAGAAAAGAAAAUGAUUAAAAUAUAUUGUAUGAAAAACUUUAACAAAAACUAAGAGAAGGGGUUGGGGAUUUAGCUCAGCGGUAGAGCGCUUGCCUAGCAAGCGCAAGGCCCUGGGUUCAGUCCCCAGCUCCGGAAAAAAAAAAAAAAAGAAAGAAAGAAAAAAAAAAGAGAAAAAAAAACUAAGAGAAGUAAAGAUGUUCAAAUGGGCUAAGAAUGUAGCUCAGCAGUACAGUGCUCUUUAAGAAAUAGUAAAGAUGAGUAGAGCUAUUGACAUAUCUGUAAGAUGAGAAACUGAAAGGUGGAGACAGGAGUACACAGAGUUUGAAGUCAGCCUCAGUAACACAGCAAGACUGACUUAGAAGUGAUAAACUUUGAAAAUAUGGAUUGGAAAUAUUUUCUGGCCUGGGAAGGCAAGCUAUGAACUGCAUACACAAUCUAGUCACAUCUACACAACACGAAACAUGAGGAUAAGGGGGAACACCUAGUAUCGUAUCUAAUAACAACGCCAUGGUCUGUUUUAUUCCUUUCCAAUUUUCUUCAGCAUGGCCAUCUUAUUUUGGUAACACUCAAGUUGAGCAUGGUAGGUCAUCUUUAUAAUCUCAGCACUCAAAAAUAGAUAAAGAAAGCAGGGAAGUUUUGACUUCAAGACCAGCCUGUGCUAUACAUAACCCAGUCAAUAAAGCAAAGCAAAACAAUAAAAAAAAAAAAAAGGUGUGUGUGUGUGUGUGUGUGUGUGUGUGUGUGUGUGUGUGUGUGUGUUUAUGUAACACAACACGCACUGUAGAGCUCAAGGGACAACUUGCAGGAGUCAGUUCUCUUUCUACCAUGUGGAUCCCAGGGAUUGAACUCAAGUUGUCAGGGAGGCUUCAUUUCAGGUGCCUGUAUCUGCUGAGCCAUCUCACCACCACGCCUCAAAACAAUAAAGUUCUGAUAAAGUUUAAGGCACUGAACUGAGAGUGUGGUGAAGUAUGCCUUUAUUUCCAGCACUUAGGAGGCAGAGGCAGGAACCACCCUGUCAGGUCCAUGCUGGCCAGGACUACAUAGUACGACCUGUCUCAAUUUUUUAAAACCACCAAAUUUCUUUGCUAGUUGAGUGCUCUACAAACACUAGUUCUCAAGGCACUAAUCUGGGAAAUAAACAAGGGCUCUGUUCAUAGACGCAUGUGUGUGCGUGCGCUAUUUUAUACCCAGUAAAUUAAACAGUUAUCAGGGAAAUCCUUUUAUAAAGUUACCUUCAGAGCACAGAAGGUGAAGAUACAGUCAAGUCAACACCUGGCUAUCCUGCCCACACCCACACAUUAUAACCCAAACCUCAACCACCCUAAAAACAGCUCCAUCAGUUAAGACAAGUCUUCUUUCUAAAGGAUCUUACCCAACUCACCUAUGUAAUCCGGGUAUGUACCAUAGGCAAACAGGUUCAGCAACUGCAAAUAUGCAGCAUUAGCUCCUUCUGCAAGCUGAGGGAAGAAACGUUCAGUUCACCACACAACAAAUUUCUGCCAACCACGAUGAUAUUCUAAUGGAGGACAUGUGACCAAAUGCCAGAGAUGUCAUGGCCAUUUUUUCUGUAUUAUUUGAUUAGGUAGUCUCUAAGGCUCUUUUCAACUCUGAUUCUUGGAGAAAAACUUAAAGGAUUAUUUAAGUUCAAAAGUGAACCUUCCUUCCUCAGGAAGACAUUUUGCCCAACAUACAAGAUGCUCAAGGAGCUUCCCCCUUCCCUCUCUCCCUGUCCCUUUGCUUUCCGUUCACUCCACCACAAAGAGGCAGUUCAAGUUUUUUUCAGAUCUCCCCUGCCUUAGAACAAAUACUGAUGGCUGGGAGAAUCUUGCAGAGCCUGCAUUUAGAGCUAGGUUCAGUCUCAGCACUGCAUAAACCGGGCAUGGUGGCUCAUGCCUGUAAUUCCUCAGGAGGUGGAUACACAAGGGUCAGGAGUUCAAAGCCAUCCUCAGCUACAUACUGAGUUCAAAACCAGAUUGGACUACUUGAAAAGACUCCUGUCUCUAACAAGAAAACAAGAGUGUGUGAUCCUGACUAUAUACCAACUCUGUAUGAUUUUUGCUUAUUUGUUUUAUUGUUGUUGCAGAAUGUGUGUAUAUGUGUAUGUGUGCUCCUGUAUGUAGUGAACAUGUGUAGAAUCACAGACAACUCUGUGAAGUCCGUUUUCUUCUUCCAACUUUAUGAAGGUUCUCUGAAGAUCAAACUCUGGUCAUCAAGCUGAUAUGGCACCUUUAGUCACUCAGCCUUCUUGUCAACCCUAAACCUAAUAUGUUAACACCUACUAUCAAUCACAUCUGAACAAACUGUAUGGCUAGUUCCAAGUUUUGGUGCUAUAUAUGAACUAUAAAACCUGGAAAUAUUAACACAAUGUAAGGUGCGACAGAAAAGCAAUACUGUAACAGAAUUAUCAGCCUGAGUAAAAUAAAAAUGUUCGUUAAAUUA